GGGGAUAACUACUGGAAACGGUAGCUAAUACCGCAUAACGUCGCAAGACCAAAGAGGGGGACCUUCAGGCCUCUUGCCAUCGGAUGUGCCCAGAUGGGAUUAGCUUGUUGGUGGGGUAACGGCUCACCAAGGCGACGAUCCCUAGCUGGUCUGAGAGGAUGACCAGCCACACUGGAACUGAGACACGGUCCAGACUCCUACGGGAGGCAGCAGUGGGGAAUAUUGCACAAUGGGCGCAAGCCUGAUGCAGCCAUGCCGCGUGUAUGAAGAAGGCCUUCGGGUUGUAAAGUACUUUCAGCGGGGAGGAAGGGAGUAAAGUUAAUACCUUUGCUCAUUGACGUUACCCGCAGAAGAAGCACCGGCUAACUCCGUGCCAGCAGCCGCGGUAAUACGGAGGGUGCAAGCGUUAAUCGGAAUUACUGGGCGUAAAGCGCACGCAGGCGGUUUGUUAAGUCAGAUGUGAAAUCCCCGGGCUCAACCUGGGAACUGCAUCUGAUACUGGCAAGCUUGAGUCUCGUAGAGGGGGGUAGAAUUCCAGGUGUAGCGGUGAAAUGCGUAGAGAUCUGGAGGAAUACCGGUGGCGAAGGCGGCCCCCUGGACGAAGACUGACGCUCAGGUGCGAAAGCGUGGGGAGCAAACAGGAUUAGAUACCCU
rnacentral:rRNA from 1 species